AUACGGAGGAUCCAAGCGUUAUCCGGAAUCAUUGGGCUUAAAGGGUCCGUAGGUGGACAGAUAAGUCAGAGGUGAAAUCCUGCAGCUCAACUGUAGAAUUGCCUUUGAAACUGUUUGUCUUGAGUCAUUGUGAAGUGGUUAGAAUGUGUAGUGUAGCGGUGAAAUGCAUAGAUAUUACACAGAAUACCGAUUGCGAAGGCAGAUCACUAAUAAUGUACUGACACUGAUGGACGAAAGCGUGGGUAGCGAACAGGAUUAGAAACCCUAGUAGUCC
rnacentral:rRNA from 1 species